rnacentral:rRNA from 1 species
UACAGGGGGGGCAAGCGUUGUUCGGAAUUACUGGGCGUAAAGGGCUCGUAGGCGGCCAACUAAGUCGGACGUGAAAUCCCUCAGCUUAACUGGGGAACUGCGUCCGAUACUGGAUGGCUUGGAUUUGGGAGAGGGAUGCGGAAUUCCAGGUGUAGCGGUGAAAUGCGUAGAUAUCUGGAGGAACACCGGUGGCGAAGGCGGCAUCCUGGACCAACAUUGACGCUGAGGAGCGAAAGCUAGGGGAGCAAACGGG